rnacentral:rRNA from 1 species
GAUGAACGCUGGCGGCGUGCCUAAUACAUGCAAGUCGAGCGAACGGACGAGAAGCUUGCUUCUCUGAUGUUAGCGGCGGACGGGUGAGUAACACGUGGAUAACCUACCUAUAAGACUGGGAUAACUUCGGGAAACCGUAGCUAAUACCGGAUAAUAUUUUGAACCGCAUGGUUCAAAAGUGAAAGACGGUCUUGCUGUCACUUAUAGAUGGAUCCGCGCUGCAUUAGCUAGUUGGUAAGGUAACGGCUUACCAAGGCAACGAUGCAUAGCCGACCUGAGAGGGUGAUCGGCCACACUGGAACUGAGACACGGUCCAGACUCCUACGGGAGGCAGCAGUAGGGAAUCUUCCGCAAAGGGCGAAAGCCUGACGGAGCAACGCCGCGUGAGUGAUGAAGGUCUUCAGAUCGUAAAACUCUGUUAUUAGGGAAGAACAUAUGUGUAAGUAACUGUGCACAUCUUGACGGUACCUAAUCAGAAAGCCACGGCUAACUACGUG